AGAGUUUGAUCCUGGCUCAGAACGAACGCUCGCGGCGUGGUUUAGGCAUGCAAGUCGAGCGAGAAAGUUCCCUUCGGGGAGCGAGUACAGCGGCGAAAGGGUGAGUAAUGCAUAGGGAACCUACCUCCCGGACCGGGAUAAUUCUUGGAAACGAGUUGUAAUACCGGAUGGUCCUCGAGAAGCGCCUGUUCUUCUUGGUAAAUGGUUGCCUAUGCUUCUGCCGAGAGAGGGGCCUAUGUCCUAUUAGCUUGUUGGUGAGGUAACGGCUCACCAAGGCAAUGAUGGGUAGCCGGACUGAGAGGUUGGCCGGUCACACUGGGACUGAGACACUGCCCAGACUCCUACGGGAGGCUGCAGUCGAGAAUCUUCCGCAAUGGACGAAAGUCUGACGGGGCGACGCCGCGUGAACGAAGAAGGCCUUCGGGUUGUAAAGUUCUGUCAUGGGGAAGAAUCGCUGGGGGUUAAUAGCCUUCCAGCUUGACGUUACCUAUAGAGGAAGCCCUGGCUAACUCCGUGCCAGCAGCCGCGGUAAUACGGAGAGGGCAAGCGUUGUUCGGAAUCACUGGGCAUAAAGCGCACGUAGGCGGAUUGGAUAGUCGGUUGUGAAAGCCCGGGGCUCAACCCCGGAAUGGCUUCCGAAACUGCCAGUCUGGAGGACGAGAGGGGAGAGUGGAACUUCUGGUGGAGCGGUGAAAUGCGUAGAUAUCAGAAGGAACACCGGUGGCGAAAGCGACUCUCUGGCUCGUUUCUGACGCUGAGGUGCGAAAGCUAGGGUAGCGAACGGGAUUAGAUACCCCGGUAGUCCUAGCCGUAAACGAUGAGCACUAGGUAGGGGAGGUUCUGACGCCUUCCCUGCUGUAGCUAAUGUGUUAAGUGCUCCGCCUGGGGAGUAUGGUCGCAAGGCUAAAACUCAAAGGAAUUGACGGGGGCUCACACAAGCGGUGGAGCAUGUGGUUUAAUUCGAAGCAACGCGCAGAACCUUACCUGGGUUUGACCGCUAGUUGUAGGCUCCUGAAAAGGAGCCGAACUGCGUAAGCAGAAGGCUAGUACAGGUGCUGCAUGGCUGUCGUCAGCUCGUGUCGUGAGAUGUCGGGUUAAGUCCCUUAACGAGCGAAACCCCUACUGUCUAGUUGCCAACGGGUAAUGCCGGGGACUCUAGCGGGACUGCCGUGGUUAACACGGAGGAAGGCGGGGAUGACGUCAAGUCCUCAUGGCCCUUAUACCUGGGGCUACACACGUGCUACAAUGGCAAGUACAAAGGGCAGCAAUACGGUAACGUGGAGCAAAUCCCACAAAGCUUGUCUCAGUACGGAUAGAGGGCUGCAAUUUGCCCUCUUGAAGUUGGAAUCGCUAGUAAUCGCGGAUCAGCAACGCCGCGGUGAAUAUGUUCCUGAGCCUUGUACACACCGCCCGUCAAGCCACGGGAGCUGGUAGUGCCCGAAGUCGCUGACCCAACCUUAGGGAGGGAGGGGCGCCGACGGUAAGACCGGUGACUGGGACUAAGUCGUAACAAGGUAACC
rnacentral:rRNA from 1 species